CCUACGGGAGGCAGCAGUGGGGAAUAUUGGACAAUGGGGGGAACCCUGAUCCAGCCAUGCCGCGUGUGUGAAGAAGGCCCUCGGGUUGUAAAGCACUUUCAGUGAGGAAGAACGCCUGGUGGUUAAUACCCAUCAGGAAAGACAUCACUCACAGAAGAAGCACCGGCUAACUCCGUGCCAGCAGCCGCGGUAAUACGGAGGGUGCGAGCGUUAAUCGGAAUUACUGGGCGUAAAGCGCGCGUAGGUGGCUUGAUAAGCCGGUUGUGAAAGCCCCGGGCUCAACCUGGGAACGGCAUCCGGAACUGUCAAGCUAGAGUGCAGGAGAGGAAGGUAGAAUUCCCGGUGUAGCGGUGAAAUGCGUAGAGAUCGGGAGGAAUACCAGUGGCGAAGGCGGCCUUCUGGACUGAAACUGACACUGAGGUGCGAAAGCGUGGGUAGCAAACAGGAUUAGAUACCCCAGUAGUC
rnacentral:rRNA from 1 species